rnacentral:lncRNA from 1 species
UUUUUUUUUUUUUUGGUCAGAACUACACAGUGAUUCACAUAUCCAGGGUUCUUAGAAAAUAAAACCAGAGGUAUAAGAACUAAUAACAAUAUACAUUUCUAUUUUUUUUUUUUUUCUAUGAAAGGGAGCUUGAUGGUGGUGGCUCCUUCCUCAUGUAUUGAAAAUAGAUUUUAUUUUAUAUUAUUUUUUUCUUUCUAAGGCCUCACCAGUGGCAUAUAGAGAUUCCCAGCCUAGGGGUCCAAUCAGAACUGAAACUGCCGGCCUAGGCCACAGCCACAGCAAUGCAGGAUCUGAGCCGCAUCUGCAACCUAUACCACAAACUCAUGGCAACGCCGGAUCCUUAACCCACUGAGCAAGGCAGUGGGAAGAGACCCUGGAGUGUUUCUCCUAUAGGAUGUCUAUAAAGGGUUUAAUAUUUUCAUUUGAUGUGAAUUCCAUCUCUUGUUAAGCUACCCUUGGACUGUUAAGAAGUAAAGGACAUAGAACCUUCAAAUGAAAGUCUUGUUGCUGCUACAGUCUCAGGAAGCCUGAUAUUUAAAUAUUCAUCAUGUGGAAUGUAGUGGGUACUGCUACUCAGAAUUGACCUGUGCCAGGAGGCUCCCUGCUAUGUCAGGCAGUAACUGUUGAGUGCUGAUUUGGGGAAGGGUCGGUGAGGAGUUCUUGUGGGUCAACCCAGGAGAUCUUCUUAGUGGUGGGGGGGCUCAGGAUAGUGGACCCUUGAACAACACAGGUUUGGACAGCAUGGGUCCACUUACACGAGGAUUUUUUUCAAUAGUAGAAAAAAUCUAUGUGAUUUGCAAAUGGUUUAAUCCACAGAUGUGGAACCUUGGAUAUGAGUCAUAUGUGGCUUUUCAGUGGCACUGGGUCGGGGCCCCUAAGCCCUCUGGCAUUGUUGAAUGGUCAACUGUAUUUCACUCUUUUAAUAACCAAACCGCUAUCAGCCUCGCUUUCUUUCAUGGAUAAACUUAAAUGAGUGAAUAGAUGAAUGACACACAAAUAACAACUUAUGAAUGAUGAAGUUGUCCUGAGUUUGCCAGAAAUCUACAGAAGCUUCUAAGGCUGAUUUCAGCAUUUUCCUGGGAACUUUCCUAUCCAUAAGAGGUUGCUGAAGAACCAAGCAGGCUGACAGCUGCCUUUUGGCCACAUGUCAGUGUAACUGGAGAGGGUAAAUGAUUCCAGCCAGAGCCAUCAAUAAUUGACAGCAGGUAAUUCAGUACCUUUAUUCCCCAGCCGCCUUUCUGCAAAGGUGGCAAAGAGAAUGUCUGUUUCUCUUCACCCAUUCAAUUUAGACACUAGCCCACCUCCACACAUUCCAAUCACGGAAAACAAACAGUGUGACAAUAGCCAGGGGCCCUCAGACCAGAGCAUUCCCUUAGUAAACAUGACCUCAAGCUGCCACAUCUCUAGUGCUCCCAGGGGAAAUUACAGGUCAUAUUGUCUAUGUAACCAAAAUGGAGCACGUGGACGCAAGAAAACUUUUAUAUUUUAGUACUUUGCUUAAUUCUUCAUGUGUGUAUGUUUGGGUGCUCAGUAAUGGUGAUGCCAUUUCUAAAGCCGAUGAGUCAGUGAAAGAUUUAGUGUUAACUAUGUGUAGAAGUAACUUAGGAUUUUUAGGUCUAAUUCUCUUGGGCCUUCAAUGAGGAUCUCUAGGUAAACUCAAUUCAAUUAAAUUCAUUCAUUUAUGCAUUCAACAAAUAUUUAUUGAGUAUCCAUUCUGCAUUAUCUACUCUUUUAGGCUCCAGGAUAUGGAUGGGAAGAGAGCAAACAAGAAAUCUAUACUCAUGGAAGUUAUAUUCUAGGGAAAAAACCAGAUACACAAGUAAACAAGUAAAUAUUUGUCUUACAAUUUCAAGAAGCAGUAAGUACUCUAAAGAAAAAUUAAGCACGAUAAGUGGUGGGUGGGUGGUCAGUGAAGGGAGAGCCCUGUCAAUAUUUGACAGAAUCCAUUCCAGGCAGAGAGGACAAUCAAAGCAAAAGCUUUGAGUGGGAAUGAUCCUGGUGUGUUCAAGUCACAUCAAGAUGCUGAGGGUCCAGAGUGGCCUGAACAAGGCUGCAAGUGUAGGAAUGAGGCUAAUGUCACCUUGCUGAAGCCCCCAAGUCUCAGCCUCCCAGCAGAUGGAGGGGACUUUUCAAACCAACGCUGUUAAGUUCUCUCUGAAGAACUGAAUGCUUCCUAAAAUAGCUACAAUGGUGGUGAUGAGGAUAGUGAAUCAGACAACCAUGUUCCUAAAAAUAAAAUGAUUAUUGUUGGUACACGGAAUGGUUUCCCAGGUGAUUCUACAGUAAACGUGCACUAAUAUUUUCAUUUCCUGUUGGAGGGUUUAGGAGGGGGCAGGAUGGUGGCUUAGUGGCUGACCUAUCUAGAACUAAAGCUAAAUACCAAAAAGGGACAAAAUGUGCAUUUCUAAUUCCUGCCUUUUCUGAGUUAGCCCAUAGCCCCAAAGCACCCUUUUCCCACACACUCUAUAAAUAAAUAUAUUUAACAGUGAUACCUGUUCCAACACCUGGGACCCGAUGGAGUUUCUCUAGUGGAACACAGGUUCCCUGAGGGUAGGGGUUUGCUCCUGGCACCCGUGGUGGUUUGCAAAUAGUCGCUGAAUACCUGGACACACUCUGCCUGGAUUCAUCUACCCCCUGGUCAUUUCUCGUUCCUCCUUUAAGCCUCAUGGAGCAGGGCACCAGUCGAGAGGAGGACCAGAAGGCACUCUGGGUCUCCCUGUCAUGUCCUCUCAUCCCGAACAGGAUGUACUAAGGGCUGUUCCUUGGGAACCCCAUCCUCAGGGUACUGCCCAGCCCCUUAAACAUUCAGGUGAUGGCAUUAAGGAACAGUUCAGAGGAGCUCUGGGGGACGAGAGGGGCCAUGCUCCUCUAAAGGCCUGUCAUUGUUGAGGAUUCAUUCUAAUGUGAACAGGCCGGGGCCUGGGACCUGGGACCUUUGCUGCAGUGGCUGCAGUCCUUGCACCUGGACAAAUAUCUGGAGCAACAAAAUACAAAGAAACCACAAGGGACUAAAAGUAACUGCAUACAUGCACCGUUGGGACAAAUUAUGGGCAAGAAUAUAACAAAAAGCCUAAAAAUCCAACUGCUACUUCUGAAGAGCAGGGAGAGCAAAAGGAAAAGCAGGGUACUAGGCAGAUCCCCUAUCACAACACCACCAAAGGGGUGGGCGGACCACCUAAACCAUCCCUCUGCCCCCCCUGGAGCCAUCCCCACCCUUGCCCUAUAAAAGGAACCAGUUUGCUCCUCCCUGUGAGCCAGGAAGCAAGGGAACCCAUUGUUUGUUUUUGCUCCCCCCUGCUGCAGCAGGGGCCCCGGUAAAGCCUUGCCUGAAUUUUGUCCGGCCUCUUAUCAAUUUCAAUUGAUUAAGAAGGCCAAGAGCCCCUGGAUAGUAACACUGAGAACCUUAAAUUGGUGAGAGCAUCACACCUUCAAGGCUGGGAUAUUUAUAAGCAUUUAACAUCCCAAGAGAGCUGGGCAGGCCGUGGUGUUACAGAGAGGUCUAAGAGCUGGUUCUUUCCUGCAAGAGGCAUAAAAUCUACUGAGGAAAAUUCCAAUGAUAAGAUGCCAUUAAACUAAAUUCUAAAUGAAUACGAUAAAUUUCAUCACCAAAGUGCACUGAAUUCUAAAAGCAUUUAUCAUGGUAUUAGGAAAUAAGUACUCAAAUAUUUUUGGAAUUAAACCUGUGCUAUUUAUCCUGAGGCUGUUACUACUUAUUUUUAAAUCAUAUGUAUUUUUCUCAUGAUAAAACAAUAGACUUCCUAAAUAAACACAAAAAGAAGAGAGAAGGAGUAAGGAAGGAAAUAAAAACUAUUCAUAAUCUUUGAACCGAGAAAGACCUCUCUUAACAUUUUGGUUUAUUUCCUUCCAGUUGUCUUUUUUUUCUUCUUACAUAGAUAAGAUCCUAUGGAAUACAUAAUUUUACUUCCUAUCUUCCUGUUAAGAUCAAAGUAUGUUUUGCAUGUUUUAAAAACCUCUGUUUAUUGGCUAAAUAAUAAACAAAUGGUUUAUUGAUUAGACUGAAAGUUUAUUUAAAGCAUAUUACUACAGAGUCCAACAAAAUUUCUAUACUUGGAUGCUUCACAUUGUCUACUGUGCUUUGCUUUAGACUGUUCCCUCAUCAUGUAGGUGACAAAAUAUCAGUUCAAGACAAGAAUAAAGCAGAGAACAUAUAGAUAAGACCUUCAGAGGCAGAAACUCAGUAUUUACUUGUCUGCCCUUGCAAAAAGUAAACAUGUGGGAUUCUGGCUAUUGGACUGGGUUAUCUGUUCUCCAGCAGGGCUCCCCUCAGGAAGUCAACUCUCCAUGGCCUUUCGGUUGACAGCCGGCAGAUGGGGUGAAUGCUGUCAGCAGUUAUGCUGGAGCAAAACCCUUAAGAGGCGACUGCACACUGCACCAAUGAAGCCAGGGGAGCCAAGAAAAGGUAAUGAAGUGCUAAACCUGGCCUGACCUGCAAAACGCAGGACACAGAAGCCAAGCAGACACACCCACACGCUGCGCUUGGGAAGUCUGUCAAGUGGUGGAUCGCUUUUGCAAAGCUUUUCUGUUCCUAAUCAAGGUCCUAUAACGAUUUGUAACUAACAAUGAUUGUUUUAUCAGGGAAUUAUUUUUAAAAUAUCCAUGGCUUUGCUUCCUAAGCAUUUCAAACACCUUCCUUGUAUUCCUCUUCCAUUUCAUUGUGUGUGUUAUCAGCUAAAAGAAACUGUUAAUGCUACUUAUUGAGCAUUGAGCAUGUGCUGGGCACUGAAGCACCGGAUAUGCAUCCACUCACAUAAUCUUCCUAACAAGCCAGCACGACGUGUUUGUUCUAUUACCCUUUCCAU